rnacentral:rRNA from 1 species
GAUGAACGCUGGCGGCGUGCCUAAUACAUGCAAGUCGAGCGAACGGACGAUACGCUUGUUUCUUUGAUGUUAGCGGCGGACGGGUGUGUAACACGUGUAUAACCUACCUAUAAUACUGGUAUAACUUCGGGAAACCGGAUCUAAUACCGGAUAAUCUUUUGAACCACAUUGUUCAUAAGUAAAAGUCGGUCUUGCUGUCACUUCUAGCUGGAUCCGCGCUUCAUUAGCUAGUUGUUAAGUUCAGGGCAUUCCAAGGCAACGAUGCCUAGCCGACCGGAGAGGGGGGUAGGCGACCCUGGAGGGGGGACGCGGUCAAUGCUCCUGCGGGAGGCAGCAGUAGGGAAUCUGACGCAAUGGGGGAAAGCCUGACGGAGCAACGCGGCGUGAGUGAUGAAGGUCUUGGGAUCGUAAAGCUCGGUUAUGAGUGAAGAACAUAUGUGUAAGUAACUGUGCACAUCUUGACGGUACCUAAUCAGAAAGCCACGGCUAACUACGUG